rnacentral:SRP_RNA from 1 species
GCCGGGUGUGGUGGCUCACGCCUGUAAUCCCAACACUUUGGGAGGCCGAGGCGGGUGGAUCACCUGAGGUCAGGAGUUCAAGACCAGCCUGACCAACAUGGUGAAACCCCAUCUCUA